UACGAAGGGGGCUAGCGUUGCUCGGAAUUACUGGGCGUAAAGCGUGCGUAGGUGGUUUGUUAAGUCUGAUGUGAAAGCCCUGGGCUCAACCUGGGAAUGGCAUUGGAUACUGGCGAGCUAGAGUGCGGUAGAGGGUAGUGGAAUUCCCGGUGUAGCAGUGAAAUGCGUAGAGAUCGGGAGGAACAUCUGUGGCGAAGGCGACUACCUGGACCAGCACUGACACUGAGGCACGAAAGCGUGGGGAGCAAACAGG
rnacentral:rRNA from 1 species